UGAGUAACCUGCCCUUAACUCUGGGAUAAGCCUGGGAAACUGGGUCUAAUACCGGAUAUGACUCCUCAUCGCAUGGUGGGGGGUGGAAAGCUUUUUGUGGUUUUGGAUGGACUCGCGGCCUAUCAGCUAGUUGGUGUGGGUAAUGGCCCACCAAGGCGACGACGGGUAGCCGGCCUGAGAGGGUGACCGGCCACACUGGGACUGAGACACGGCCCAGACUCCUGCGGGAGGCAG
rnacentral:rRNA from 1 species